AUCCAGCCACCUCAUCCUCUGCCAUCGCCUUCUCCUUUUGCUGUCAAUUGUUCCCAGCAUCAGGGUCUUCUCCAGGGAAUUGUUCCCUCUCACUAGAUGGCCAAAGUACUUGGGUUUCAUCUUCAGUAUCUGGCCUUCUAAAGAGCAGUCAGGGUUGAUUUCCUUUAAGAUUGACUGGUUUCAUCUCCUUGCAGUCCAAGGGACUCGCAGGAGUCUCCUCCAGCAGCACAAGUAAAAGGCCUCAAUUCUUCAGUGCUCAGCAUUCCUUAUGGACCAACUUUUACAGCCAUCCAUUGAAACUGGGAAAACCCUAGCCUUGA